rnacentral:rRNA from 1 species
UACGUGGGGUGCAAGCGUUAUCCGGAUUUAUUGGGCGUAAAGAGUUUGUAGGCGUCUUAUCAAGUUUUGCUUGAAAUCCCGGGGCUUAACCCCGGAACUGGGUGAAAUACUGGUGAGAUUGAGUCUGUUAGGGGGUACUGGAACUCACGGUGUAGCAGUGAAAUGCGUUGAUAUCGUGAGGAACACCAAGGGCGAAGGCAGGUACCUGGGACAUGACUGACGCUGAGAAACGAAAGCUAGGGGAGCGAAAGGG